AUGGCCACCAUCAGAGUAGUUAUUUCAAUAAUCUUGCUUUGCAUUACAAUAGCACAAGGAAGAAAACCACUUAACAUAAGAAAUGGAUUUUCAGCAUUGUCUCUAGUUGACAACGAUGAUGGUAUCUGCAAGGCAAUGGUAGAGACACAAGGUUACAUAUGUGAAGAACAUAAGGUUAUAACAGAGGAUGGCUACAUCCUGAGCCUGCAGAGGUUGCUGGCAGGGCCGUCAAGCAAGCCACCCGUGAUUCUGUACAUGCGAUUUUUUGUGUAA